AAUGAACAACAGAUCAAAAAAUAAAGAGCAUGAUUACUUUUAGGAGAAGAAUUUAUCUUGCAAAAUUCAAUGCUGAUUUACUUAAGUUUUUUUCAUUAGCUGGGGUCACCAUUUUUCAUUUAAAUAGAAUAUUAAGUAGUGAAACAAAACAAGUUCUUUCACAGACUGCCCACCCUGCAGAGGGCUCAGCUGGAUUGUGGAAAAUGUGGAUCAACAGGUUGAGCCUGCAUCUUGUGAAUAAUUUUACAUGGGAUAGAACCCAAUAAUCCAACUCAGGUCUUUCAGAAUAGAAAGCCAAAGUAUUUCCAUAUAACCAAUCAGGCUGAUUCAGGCUUAGUUAUGUUUAACAAUUUGUUCAUCACAAUUUUCAUUAUUUUAUCUUAGCAAUUAUCCAGAUGCUCUGGCUAUAAUUCAAGAGAAAAUUCCACUUCUUCAUUAAACUGUCAUUUGAUUUGUCAGAUUUCAUAUUUUUUGUAAAUCUUUCUUAAGUACAGAAUA
rnacentral:lncRNA from 1 species